AGAGUUUGAUCAUGGCUCAGGAUGAACGCUGGCGGCGUGCUUAACACAUGCAAGUCGAACGAAGCAAAGGGGCUUGCCCCUUUGACUUAGUGGCGGACGGGUGAGUAACGCGUGAGCAACCUGCCUAUACCAGGGGAAUAACACAGUGAAAAUUGUGCUAAUACCGCAUAAGACCACGAGGAGGCAUCUCCUUGCGGUAAAAGAUUUAUCGGGUAUAGAUGGGCUCGCGUCCCAUUAGAUAGUUGGCGGGGUAACGGCCCACCAAGUCGACGAUGGGUAGCCGACCUGAGAGGGUGAUCGGCCACAUUGGAACUGAGAAACGGUCCAGACUCCUACGGGAGGCAGCAGUGGGGAAUAUUGGGCAAUGGAGGCAACUCUGACCCAGCAACACCGCGUGAAUGAUGAAGGUCUUCGGAUUGUAAAGUUCUGUGACGGGGGACGAACACAAUGACGGUACCCCGAUAGCGAGCCUCGGCUAACUACGUGCCAGCAGCCGCGGUAAUACGUAGGAGGCAAGCGUUAUCCGG
rnacentral:rRNA from 1 species